GCAGGGGGUCGUCGGUUCGAUCCCGACAGGCUCCACCAUUUGAGUGAAACGACUUUGGGUCUGUAGCUCAGGUGGUUAGAGCGCACCCCUGAUAAGGGUGAGGUCGGUGGUUCGAGUCCUCCCAGACCCACCACUCUGAAUGUAGUGCACACUUAAGAAUUUAUAUGGCUCAGCGUUGAGGCUGAGACAUGUUCUUUUAUAACUUGUGACGUAGCGAGCGUUUGAGAUAUCUAUCUAAACGUGUCGUUGAGGCUAAGGCGGGGACUUCGAGUCCCUAAAUAAUUGAGUCGUAUGUUCGCGUUGGUGGCUUUGUACCCCACACAACACGGCAUAUGACCCUGAGGCAACUUGGGGUUAUAUGGUCAAGCGAAUAAGCGCACACGGUGGAUGCCUAGGCGGUCAGAGGCGAUGAAGGACGUGGUAGCCUGCGAAAAGUGUCGGGGAGCUGGCAACAAGCUUUGAUCCGGCAAUAUCCGAAUGGGGAAACCCACUGCUUCGGCAGUAUCCUGCAGUGAAUUCAUAGCUGCUGGAAGCGAACCCGGUGAACUGAAAUAUCUAAGUAACCGGAGGAAAAGAAAUCAACCGAGAUUCCCUAAGUAGUGACGAGCGAACGGGGAGCAGCCCUUAAGCUGGAAUGGCUUUAGAAAAACAAUCUGGAA
rnacentral:misc_RNA from 1 species